UACAAUCAAUCGGCAAUUGUGGAUAUUAAUCAUUAUAUCAAACAAAAUCAAUUAAGAUAUAUAUAUAUAUAUAUAACAAUAAAAAUGAAAAUUUAGUUAAAUUAAAUUGAAUUUAAUUAAAAUUGUAAUCAUCAAAUAAAUUCAAUGUAAAUACAUUAAAUAAUCCAAAAUACAAAAAAAUGAAAAGAAUAAAUAGAGCUAAUUAAUAAGAACAAAAAAAAUAUAAAUCAACUUAUUGUUAACGUUUUACCAAACCAAGACCUAAAUAAGAGCACUAACUCAAG
rnacentral:lncRNA from 1 species